UACGUAGGGUGCGAGCGUUAAUCGGAAUUACUGGGCGUAAAGCGUGCGUAGGCGGCUGUGUAAGUAAGAUGUGAAAUCCCAGGGCUUAACCCUGGAACUGCUUUUUAGACUGCACAUCUAGAAUUCGGUAGAGGUUGGUGGAACUCCUAGUGUAGAGGUGAAAUUCGCAGAUAUUAGGAAGAACACCGGUGGCGAAGGCGACCAACUGGACCGAUAUUGACGCUGAGGCACGAAAGCGUGGGUAGCAAACAGG
rnacentral:rRNA from 1 species